rnacentral:rRNA from 1 species
UACGAAGGGGGCUAGCGUUGUUCGGAGUUACUGGGCGUAAAGGGCGCGUAGGCGGCGCAUCAAGUCAGGCGUGAAAGCCCUGGGCUCAACCCGGGAAUUGCGCUUGAGACUGGUGUGCUUGAGUACGGGAGAGGAUAGUGGAAUUCCCAGUGUAGAGGUGAAAUUCGUAGAUAUUGGGAAGAACACCAGUGGCGAAGGCGGCUAUCUGGACCGUAACUGACGCUGAGGCGCGAAAGCGUGGGGAGCAAACAGG